AUGAACGCUGGCGGCGUGCUUCACACAUGCAAGUCGAACGGAAAGGCUCCUGCUUGCAGGGGUACUCGCGUGGCGAACGGGUGAGUAACACGUGGGUGAUCUGCCCUGCACUUCGGGAUAAGCCUGGGAAACUGGGUCUAAUACCGGAUAGGACGAUGGUUUGGAUGCCAUUGUGGAAAGUUUUUCGGUGUGGGAUGAGCUCGCGGCCUAUCAGCUUGUUGGUGGGGUAAUGGCCUACCAAGGCGUCGACGGGUAGCCGGCCUGAGAGGGUGUACGGCCACAUUGGGACUGAGAUACGGCCCAGACUCCUACGGGAGGCAGCAGUGGGGAAUAUUGCACAAUGGGCGCAAGCCUGAUGCAGCGACGCCGCGUGGGGGAUGACGGCCUUCGGGUUGUAAACUCCUUUCGCUAGGGACGAAGCGCAAGUGACGGUACCUGGAGAAGAAGCACCGGCUAACUACGUG
rnacentral:rRNA from 1 species